AACACUGUUCACCUGCUGAGGGGAGACUUGCACAAUGAUAAGAGCCUCCUUCUCUGCAGUGGUGCGCGGCAGGAAGAGUGGCGAAGGCUUGAGGAUGACAAACAGCCAUUACCGCCAUUAAAGUGAGCUGACUGAGCCAGUCUGAGCCCAUCAAGUGGAACCUCCCAGUCCACUGGGGCUUUCAGCUAUCGCCUUUGGCUACGGGGAAUGGGGUUGAGGAGGAGGGGUGAGUUGAUGUAGCGUGAGACAGCUCUGUAUCUUUUAUUAAAUUACUCAUGUCCCGCUGAAACAGAUGA